AUAGCGUAUAUUAAAGUUGUUGCAGUUAAAAAGCUCGUAGUUGAAUUUCGGGAUUGACGUGAUGGUCAUGCCUUAAGGGGUAUGAACUGUUACUGUUGAUUUCUCACCUUCUGGAGAAACUUGAUGUCCUUUAUUGGGUGUCUUGCGGAUCCAGGACCUUUACCUUGAAAAAAUUAGAGUGUUUAAAGCAGGCAUUUUUGCUCGAAUACAUUAGCAUGGAAUAAUAGAAUAGGACGGCAUGGUUCUAUUUUGUUGGUUUCUAGGAUCACCGUAAUGAUUAAUAGGGAUAGUUGGGGGCAUUAGUAUUCAAUUGUCAGAGGUGAAAUUCUUGGAUUUAUUGAAGACUAACUACUG
rnacentral:rRNA from 1 species